GAAGUCUGCUAACAGUCGAAUCGUCCACGCAAAAUACAUAUCCAAAAUUAUCAGUCAUCUUAUUUAGGGUCGAACGGAGGUUCGUAGCUUAAAAUUCC